AGUUGUAUACUUUCCCUAUAAUAGAUUGUAGGAAGGGCCUUCCAAAGAAAUUGGCUUGCGAAGGGUAAUUUUUAUUGUUUAUCUGCUCUUUUGACUCUAGAAAAGAAAAAAAGAAAGCUAUAUAGUUUGUGCAUCUAAGAAAUAAAAAAUAAAUCAAUAUGAUACUUGUUGACUCUAAAUUUAAUUUUGAUGAAUACCAGUAUAUGAUUAGUACUAAUG
rnacentral:lncRNA from 1 species